rnacentral:lncRNA from 1 species
GCAGUCUACAGAGUCACUGAGGGGGUUUGCUUAUCAGCCAAGAUGAACACAGACAUUUCUCAGGCUGAGAAAGAGGUGUUUGGUUAUGCAAAUAUCCUUUGUCACCAGGGACACAAGACAAGCAUUCAUUUGCAAAGAAGGAGGACACUUUCAACGCAUGUGGAGCCCACGUGUCAUCCUGUCAUGAACAGCCAGGUCCCAAAGGUGGCAGGGGAGGACCUGGCAUCCUGACUAUGUCCCCAAGGCAGCCAGGCCCUCGCCGGGCCCUCAGAGGGCCAUGCUCAGGUGCCUCAAGGCCCAUCUUUGAUGAACAUCCGUGUGCCCCGCACAUGCACAGUGAGUGAAGCUAACCCAUGAGCAUACCUCCUCACAUCCUCCAUGAGCCCAGCACUUUCCUCAACUCAUCAGCUCUGCCCUGCCACCUCCUUCCACACCAUCUCCUCCGGAAAUAUGUGCACAGCAAAUCAGAGCGAGCUCCCCCCGACUGGGUUGGUGCCAACUUUCCCUGUCACGUGAGUGCUCCGUGGAGAGAAGACUUCCUUCUCGGUCUCUCUCCCCACCCACAUCACCUCAUGCCUACCAAAAGGUAUUUCCUCAGGCUUCCGUGAAGCCCAGGGAUGGGGACCUAAUCGGGAGAGAAGGUGGACGUCAGGUGCGUUAGGCGGUGGAUGGAAUUGCUUCGGGCACCACGGAAACCCUGGGAAAAGUCACCAGGAAGUCGCUCCUUUGUCAUUUCAGAGAAGUCGCACCCCAAGCCGGGCUUUGGAACUCAGGGGACCACAUUAUUGCUCUCGGAAUAAUAGCCUUCCCCCCCACAAUGCCAAUUUAUCAUUUUUGAUGGAAUGGCCCAUCUCUGUCACCAACCUCAAUUUUGGGCAUUACAUACCUUUGCAUUUUGUUCUCUGAGAAGAGAGUGGUGAAUUCAGGAACCCCCUGAAGCCUGUCCCACCUCUGGGAAGGCUCUGGGUCCCUCAGGGCCCCAGACCCAGCUCCCUGCUCAGACUUCUGUCCUGGGAGCAGUUUGUUUUCUCUCUCCAUAGGUUGGGUCUAGAUUUCAAGUUUUUAAAAAUAAAGAUGCACCCUUCCCAGCCCUCCUGGCGAGG